rnacentral:rRNA from 1 species
CACGUAGGGGGCGAGCGUUGUCCGGAAUCAUUGGGCGUAAAGAGCUCGUAGGCGGCUCGGUAAGUCGGGUGUGAAACCCCCAGGCUCAACCUGGGGACGCCACCCGAUACUGCUGUGGCUAGAGUCCAGUAGGGGAGUGUGGAAUUCCCGGUGUAGCGGUGAAAUGCGCAGAUAUCGGGAGGAACACCGAUGGCGAAGGCAGGUCUCUGGGCAUUAACUGACGCUGAGGAGCGAAAGCAUGGGGAGCGAACAGG